AAAGAGCGAUAUAAGGGCGUAUGGCGGAUGACUAGAGAUAAAUUGGCGAAGAAGGACGCGGCGUGACGGCGAUAUGCUUGGGGGAGGUCAUUUCAGUACCUAGAGGAAAAGAAACCAAUCUCACGCUUUAUGCCGUAAGCCGUAAGCUGUAAAAAGCUUAAGGCGUAUGGCGUAUGGCGUGAACAAUUCUCUUAGUAGCGGCGAGCGAAAAGGGAAGAGCCCAGAGUUUUUUCUUUUUGGUAAUUUAUUAUUAAAAGGAUAAAGCAGUAGUAAGUUUAGUUCUGAUCUUUAAUGAUAUGGAAAAUUAGAUUAUUAGCAGAACGGUCCUGGAAAGGCCGGCCAAAGAGGGUAAUAGCCCCGUAAGCGACAAUAAAUCUAUAUUCUUUGAACUUUACUUGAGUACCUCGAAAAAUGUAUAGUUCGGGGGAAAUCGCCGGCACGAGCCGGUAAGGCUAAAUACAAUUUAUCAUCGAUAGUGAACAAGUACCGUGAGGGAAAGUUGAAAAGCAGCCCGGUGAGGGCGAUGAAAUAGUACCUGAAACCAUAUGCCUACAAGGAGUCAGAGUCGGUCGCGCCUCACUGCGUUUGGCGCUCGUCAGUUUAUAGUUUGUAGUCCAUAGUUUAUAGUUAAUUUUCUAUAAACUAAAAACUAUCAACUAUCAACUGCGAGUCGCGCGAGCGUAGCGAGGCGCGACUCGAUGAUGGCGUGCCUAUUGAAGAAUGAGCCAACGAGUUAUUGUUUUUUGCUCGUCUAAGGGCGUGAUGCCCGGAGACAAAGGGAAACCGAGUGUUAAUAGCGCGUACACACACUCAAAAUUUUGGACAAAUAAAAAGCAAGGGGCUAAACAUAGGCCACAUAGGACCUAAGAAGCCACCCCUUGCUAAUUGGCUUGACUAAGUCGUAGUCUAUCAAACCUAUUAUAUUUGUCAAUAGGGUCCAAAAUUUUGAGUGUGUAAGCAGAAAACGAUAGACCCGAAGCCAGAUGAGCUUACCAUGACCAGGGUGAACCUCGGAGAAAUCCGGGGGAAGGCCCGAACCGUUUAGCCGUUCAAAACUAUCGGAUGAGUUGUGGUAAGGAGUGAAAAGCUAAUCGAAUCUGGUAAUAGCUGGUUCUCUCCGAAAUAGCNNNNNNNNNNNNNNNNNNNNNNNNNNNNNNNNNNNNNNNNNNNNNNNNNNNNNNNNNNNNNNNNNNNNNNNNNNNNNNNNNNNNNNNNNNNNNUCUUAAACAGCGAGGAGGUUGGCUUAGAAGCAGCCAUCCUUUAAAGAGUGCGUAACAGCUCACUCGUCAAGAGACUUCGCGCCGAAAAUUAUCGGGGCUUAAGCAGAGUACCGAAGGUGAGAGUGCUGACGCAACUUUCAAUUUCUAACUUAUAAUUUCCAAUUUUUGGUAAUUAAAUUGUUGGCAAUUGGCAGUUGCGCCAGCGCGGUAGGAGAGCGUUCCAAAUGCAGUGAAGCUCACGGCGUGAGCCGGAGUGGAGCGUUUGGAAGUGAGAAUGUUGGCACAAGUAACCACAAGUCCGGUGAAAUCCCGGACCACCGAAAACCCAAGGUUUCCUUGGCAAUGACAAUCAGCCAAGGGUUAGUCGGCCCUAAGCCAAUGGCGAAAGCCGGAGGCGAUGGAUAGCUGGUUAAUAUUCCAGCACUGCGUAUUUUUUUGAUGACGGGACGGAAUCUAGUACAUUGAGCGUGUUAUUGGAUUCGCGUUCAUGGCGUAAGGGUAGAGUAUAGGAAAAUCCGUACUCUCGCUUUAGUGCGGCAUCCAAGCGCUUUGAAAACCCGGCACAGCAAUGUGCUGGGAAUUCAAUGGAGCAGGUUUCCCAGAAAAUCGUCUAAAAAUAUUAAUACGCAACCGUACCGGAAUCCGACACAGGUGGGUAGGUCGAGAAGA
rfam:Parcubacteria bacterium GW2011_GWA2_44_13 TW28_C0005, whole genome shotgun sequence.